rnacentral:rRNA from 1 species
GAUGAACGCUAGCGGCAGGCCUAACACAUGCAAGUCGAGGGGUAAAGGAAGCUUGCUUCCUUGAGACCGGCGCACGGGUGCGUAACGCGUAUGCAAUCUACCUUUUACAGAGGGAUAGCCCAGAGAAAUUUGGAUUAAUACCUCAUAGUAUUUUCGAAUGGCAUCAUUUGAUUAUUAAAGUUCCAACGGUAAAAGAUGAGCAUGCGUCCUAUUAGCUAGAUGGUAAGGUAACGGCUUACCAUGGCAACGAUAGGUAGGGGUCCUGAGAGGGAGAUCCCCCACACUGGUACUGAGACACGGACCAGACUCCUACGGGAGGCAGCAGUGAGGAAUAUUGGACAAUGGGCGCAAGCCUGAUCCAGCCAUGCCGCGUGCAGGAAGACGCAUCUAUGGUGUGUAAACUGCUUUUGUACAGGAAGAAACACUCCUUCGUGAAGGAACUUGACGGUACUGUAAGAAUAAGGAUCGGCUAACUCCGUGCCAGCAGCCGCAGUAACAC